CACAUUUCAGUAAUUUGUAUUUAGAAAUAAUGCAGACAUCCAAUGUGAUGAAGAAAACUAGCCGCAUGAUGCUGGGGAGAGAGGCAGAAUUAGUCACACUAUUCUUUGUUACUGUUAUGCACCUUUAGUU